rnacentral:lncRNA from 1 species
AUAAUAUCUGAACUUUUUAAGAGGGGAAUUCAAAAUUUGAAUUUAAAUUAAAAUUAAUUUUUUUAUAUAUAUAAAGCUUAUAUAUAUGUAUUGAUGGUUACGUGGAGACGGAGAGAUGAUGGAUUUGUCGCAAAUCUGCGAUCGAAUCGGGUGAAAAAAAAAUUGUGGUUUUCAUGGUUCGGUAAUGCCGGAAGCGCUGGUGCAGUCCGUUAGCAAAUCUGAUGGACGGAUCUUUUGCGAUCGCACAAUU